UACGCCUUCUGUAUUCAACUUACGGAACUGACGCGAUGCCAGUUCCAUUUUUUUCGUAACUUGAAUACGGAAGGCGGUCUGGCGGAAGCUAGAUAUUUUACUUCAUAACUUGUUAAAUAUGGAUUUUUUUUUUUUUUCACAAACGCAUCGCUUCUCUUCAGAAGGCCUUUAUUAACCCUCCGGAGCCAUGGGGAGUACACGUUUAUGAUGAAUGGAUGUGGAUGGAGACACUUUCUUCAGCUUACUGGUAACGCUUACUGCCAUUAUAAAGCUCGGACGCGUCAGGAUAUUUAUUAAUAUUUCUCCGAUUGUGUUCAUCAGAAAGAAGAUGAGACGUGGAACUGGAACUGAUACUUGUCUGUGUGUUCUAGGAAGCGUGGAUGCAGAGAGACGUUGAGCAGAUGAACACACUGGAGAUUCACAGGAGACGUGGAGACACAAGGGAUCACAGGAGACGCUGGAGACAGGUAAGUAGUCGUGUUACGGGAAUCCUGGAGGUAAGUAUAACACUGGUAUGUGUUAACAAGACCGGACAGUGACUGAGUGAUCUGGCGUGUCUUUUAUGUGGCUGCGGUGAUGAGUGUGAAUGAGCGUCAGGUGUGGCUUGUCAAUACUCAGGAGAGGGAGUGCCUAGUGAUUGGGUGAGUGUAGAGCCUGGCAUGUCUGUGACAGAGGGUAAGUAAAGCUUGGGAUAAUUUUCAUUUAAAAGUGAACUAAUCUUUUAAUACGCAUAGACAGCUAUGGCUAAGCAGUGUUAUUUUAGUAUCAUUGAGAUGCUAAGUUUUCGUUUUUAUAUUUUCUGCUUUCGUUUUAAAGUUUUAUAAUUUUGUUUUGUAUUUGUCAUUUUUAUUCGUUUUUUUUUUUUUUUUUUAAAUAUGUCUAUACUUUUAUUCAUUUUUAUUUCAUUUUUAGUAUUAGUUAUUUUAGUUCCUCAUGUUAAACUAAAUGAAAAUGAGAAAUGUUGUUUUUUUUAUAUUUAUUCAAGUUAAAGUUUAUUUAAACACUAAAAUAUUCCAUUAAAAAUUGAAUUGUCCAUUUUGAUUUUAUGGUGACUUUUAAGUGAUUGUGGACAGAACAAAAAUCUCGAUUUGUAGCCUAUCAAAAGAUCAGAUUUAUGCAGCCUCGCAAUGUAACAGGAUAUAUGACUGUGUCAAUACAUUUAGUAAUCUUGCAAUUGUUCUAACGCUUGGAUCCAACUAUGGUCAUUGGAUAGCAAACUCCUCGGUAAACGGAGUUUGGUUGAUUUCGAGUCAUGUGACUCGUGUCAUUUCAGCUCCACAUUAGUUACAAGUUUUAACAUGUAACGUUAGAUAACUCAAAUUUCAGCUCGACAUCUGUGAACAUACAGUAAAGAGCCGGCAAAUUCAUUUUCAUUUGACAGAUCAUUCACAGAGCGAAAUCCUUCUUCAUGCGGCGUCCUCAUUUUGAACUGAAUUAGACUGGUGGUGAUUAUUUGCGUUUAGGUAGCUAUACUGUAUGCCAGUUUCUAGCCCUCAAAUAAGCGCAGAGCUAUAGGCUAAAUCUUUGCAAUAAUGUCAUUACAUCUGGAAGAUGCACGUAUUGGAAGUCUAUUUCUUGCUGUUAAGCUUUUAGUAGUGGUUUGCUGUUGCAGUGCUGUAACAAUACAGAACCGUGCACCAUUUUGUCUCCUCAUCAAAUCUGAACACGGGAGUUAUCAGAUUAGUUUUCUCACCCGCUCACUGGACGCUUUAGCAUCUCCACUCUUUUACUGGAGCAAGUGGACAUCAGAGAAACGCGUUGAAGAUUGUUUCAUGAGUGGCGACCGGACGCUGGUUACGCGUUAUUUGUCACUCUGUCGUGAAGAGCGCGCUUUUGACAAUGCCGAAAAGUUACCUUUCCCUUUCAACUUAAGUGCGCUAGUGGAAAAUGCCAGUCUGUGUGAAAGGAACUCUUAUUUCAAUUUCACUUUGGACAAAGGAGACGUAAACCAAGGCCAGCAGAUGGAUUCAAGAGCAAAAAGUCGCUCUAAACGCGCAUGGGUUUUACCGGGAACACUUUGGUGUGGACGAGGCACAAGAGCCAAUAACUAUGAACAAUUGGGUAUGUUUGUGCAUGCAGAUAGAUGCUGCCGAGAACAUGAUCACUGUGAGCACAUCAUACGCUCCUUCUCUGUGAAUUUUGGUGUCUUCAAUCCCACCCUCUUCACGGUCUCCCACUGUGACUGUGACCACAGAUUUAAACAAUGCCUUCUCAAUGGUAAUGACACCAUCUCCAACAUGGUGGGCUACAGUUUUUUCAACGUCCUAAAACUCCGCUGCUUCGAGCUGAUUGAAAGAAGGCAAUGCACACAGUACAACUGGUUUGGAAUGUGAGUGCAAGAAAUGAAAUAAUGCUUUCCAGAAAUUAUGCUUCAUGCUUCAGUUUAUUUUCAUUUUUAUCCAUUCUGCAUUUUUGUUCCAGUUUAUGGGUUAACUGUAAAUCCUGUAACAACUAACAAAGUUUAUUGGACUCAUUGUCCUAGUAUUGUCUGAGAAAUAUACUUAAAUUUGUUC